rnacentral:pre_miRNA from 1 species
AAAAAAAUUAUAUGAGACCAGGUCUCAUAUAAAUCAGGUGAGACCCGCCCUGAUGAAUGACAUGUGGCAUUCACAAAUCACAAAGCAUCUAAUCUCUCCCCCCCUGAUUUCAGGUGGGGGGUGGGGUGGAUGCUUUGUGAUUUGUGAAUGACACGUGUCAUCCAUCAGGAUGGGUCUCACCUGCUAAUCCGUGAGACCUGGUCUCAUAGAAUUUUUUU